rnacentral:rRNA from 1 species
AAAGAUUUAUCGCCAAUCGAUGAGCCCGCGUUGGAUUAGCUAGAUGGUGAGGUAAGAGCUUACCAUGGCGACGAUCCAUAGCUGGUCUGAGAGGAUGAUCAGCCACACUGGGACUGAGACACGGCCCAGACUCCUACGGGAGGCAGCAGUGGGGAAUAUUGGACAAUGGGGGCAACCCUGAUCCAGCCAUGCCGCGUGAGUGAUGAAGGCCCUAGGGUUGUAAAGCUCUUUCAGUCAUGAGGAUAAUGACGUUAAUGACAGAAGAAGCCCCGGCUAACUUCGUGCCAGCAGCCGCGGUAAUACGAAGGGGGCUAGCGUUGUUCGGAAUCACUGGGCGUAAAGCGCACGUAGGCGGACUUUUAAGUCAGGGGUGAAAUCCCGAGGCUCAACCUCGGAACUGCCUUUGAUACUGGAAGUCUUGAGUUCGAGAGAGGUGAGUGGAACUCCGAGUGUAGAGGUGAAAUUCGUAGAUAUUCGGAAGAACACCAGUGGCGAAGCGGCUCACUGGCUCGAUACUGACGCUGAGGUGCGAAAGGUGGGGAGCAAACAGGAUUAGAUACCCUGGUAGUCCACGCCGUAAACGAUGGAAGCUAGCCGUCAGUAGCAUGCUAUUUGGUGGCGCCGUAACGCAUUAAGCUUCCCGCCUGGGGAGUACGG